AACGAUUGCACGCUUACGCCGAAAGAUCGAAUCAAAUUCGCUCAGAACGAUCGAGCAUUCGAACGUCGUCGAAGCAGCGAAAUCUCGUGACAAGUUUUCCAGCCUAGAAGUUCGGGUUCUCGAACGAUUCGCGCACCUUUAACGACGGAUUACGGAGAGUCCCUGGAAAAUCCUGUGUUCUCCGUCGUAACCGCGUCAGAAUGGAUGAUAACGACGGAGAAACACGCGGGAUACAGAACGAGGAAAGAGAAAGAGGUGUGUGCGUGUGCGUGCGUGUGUGGAUGGUUCUGAAAAGAAGCAUUGUUCGCGUUUUCCUUCGCUCGGUACACGAUAUAUACGCUUUUAUACUCGUUAACACUGGAGUCGUAUCGAGCUGUAUGACACGAGAUCGAGAUAGUGCACGCUGUACGAGAGCGAGAACGUCUUGUAAGAAUGAGUAUUUUCGUGUGUAAGUGUGUACGCGUGUGCGUGCGUGUUGUGUGUGCGUGUGGGGACGGCGAGAAUGCGGGCAGAUGGAAAAAGGACAAUUGCGUGGGGGGCAUAUGUGGCGAAGAGAUCGGGGCACGCGUGAAAUCUGCUCCGUUCUACUUGUACGUACACGCGUUCGAGCGUCCUUUCCAUUUUGUUAAUUCUUUUCUUUUUCCAGUAUUAUCUAGUCGUGCAAGUUUUAUUAAAUAUCGUUUCGUAGGAUCGGGCCAAAUGGAUACGUGUGUUUUUGUUUAAAGCGAAUGGAAGGAAACGCGUUAACACAGAACCGAGCCUCCUCCUUUCGAUGAACGAAUGUUGAGCCUGCAACGUCUACCUGCUUCAUGUACAUACAUCCAGCCUGCAACAUCUUCCUGUUUCAUACACAUAGAAAAGUCAAGCCUGCAACAUCUUCCUGUUUCAUACACAUAGAAAAGUUGAGCCUGCAACAUCUACCUGCUUCAUGUACAUAGAAAAGUCCAGCCUGCAACAUCUUCCUGUUUCAUACACAUAGGAAAGUUGAGCCUGUAACAUCUAACUGCUUCAUGUACCUAAAUAAGUCAAGCCUAACACAUCUUUCUUCUUCAUAUACAUAGGACAGUUGAACCUGCAACAUCUUCUUGCUUCAUGUACAGAGAACAGUUGAGCCUGCAACAUCUACCUGCUUCAUGUGCAUAGAGAAGUCAAGCCUACCACAUCUUCCUUCUUCAUAUACAUAAGAAAGUUGAACCUGCAACAUCUUCCUGUUUCAUACACAUAGAAAGGAAAGUUGAACCUGCAACAUCUACCUACUUCAUGUACAUAAAGAAGACAUGCCUACAACAUCUUCCUUCUUUAUAUACAUAAGAAAGUUGAACCUGCAACAUCUUCCAGUUUCAUGUACAUAGAAAGGAAAGUUGAGGCUACAACAUCUACCUGCUUCAUGUACAUAGAAAAGUCAAGCUUACUACAUCUUUUUUCUUCAUAUACAUAGGACAGUUGAAGCUGUAACAUCUAUCUGCUUCAUGUAUAUUGAAAAGCUAAACCAAGAACAUCUUUCUUCUUCAUGUACAUAGAAAAGUUGAGGCUGCAACAUCUACCUGCUUCAUGUAUACUGAGGAGUUAAACCAAAAACAUCUUUCUUCAUGUACAUAGAAAAGUUGAGGCAGGAACAUCUUUCAUCUUCAUGUGUAUAGAAAAGUUGAGGCUGCAACAUCUUCCUGUUUCAUGUACAUAUGAAAGAUGAACCUGAAACAUUUCCCUUGCUCAUAAAUUGUGUUCAUAAAAAUGACUUCAUACAAGCAGGCAGAUUAAAAGAGACUCGUUAAAAAGACCCAAAGAUUAAAACAAAAAAUGUUCUCAUGUUAAUAAUAUCUCUCCAUGUCUCAUAAUUAAAAUUAAACUCGAAAAUCA